rnacentral:rRNA from 1 species
UACGAAGGGGGCUAGCGUUGCUCGGAAUGACUGGGCGUAAAGGGCGCGUAGGCGGUUUGGACAGUCAGAUGUGAAAUUCCUGGGCUCAACCUGGGGGCUGCAUUUGAUACGUUCGGACUAGAGUGGGGAAGAGGGUCGUGGAAUUCCCAGUGUAGAGGUGAAAUUCGUAGAUAUUGGGAAGAACACCGGUGGCGAAGGCGGCGACCUGGUCCUUGACUGACGCUGAGGAGCGAAAGCAUGGGGAGCGAACAGG